rnacentral:rRNA from 1 species
CUAUCACUCCUACGGGAGGCAGCAGUGGGGAAUAUGCACAAUGGGCGCAAGCCUGAUGCAGCGACGCCGCGUGAGGGAUGACGGCCUUCGGGUUGUAAACCUCUUUCAGUAGGGAAGAAGCGAAGUGACGGUACCUGCAGAAGAAGCACCGGCUAACUACGUGCCAGCAGCCGCGGUAAUACGUAGGGUGCGAGCGUUAUCCGGAAUUAUUGGGCGUAAAGAGCUCGUAGGCGGUUUGUCGCGUCUGUCGUGAAAGUCCGGGGCUUAACCCCCGGAUCUGCGGUGGGUACGGGCAGACUAGAGUGCAGUAGGGGAGACUGGAAUUCCUGGUGUAGCGGUGGAAUGCGCAGAUAUCAGGAGGAACACCGAUGGCGAAGGCAGGUCUCUGGGCUGUAACUGACGCUGAGGAGCGAAAGCAUGGGGAGCGAACAGGAUUAGAUACCCUGGUAG